AAGUCGUAACAAGGUUUCCGUAGGUGAACCUGCGGAAGGAUCAUUACUGAGUUAGGGUCUUCCAGGCCCGACCUCCAACCCUUUGCCUACCUUACCUCUUGUUGCUUCGGCCGGCCCGUCCCCCCUAGAAAUAGGGGUCGACCGCCGGAGGGCUCACACCCUCUGGCCCGCGCCCGCCGAUGGCCCUCAACCAAAACUCUUGUUCAAUCGUGAAUUGUCUGAGUAUACAAAACAAAAUAAACCAAAAACUUUCAACAACGGAUCUCUUGGUUCUG
rnacentral:misc_RNA from 1 species